rnacentral:lncRNA from 10 species
ACACACACACAGAGUGAAAAAGGCGAGCCACCAAAACCCAUCUCCAGUCUCCUCCCGGGGGCCCCCAGCCCGCCUCUGUGCCACUUUGCAUCCCACGCCGGAGGAGGCAUUAACGAGACCGGGUAAGGCUUUUUAAACGGUCCAAGGUGUAGAGCCAUACUUCAGGAGGAUCCUCAGAAGUUUUGGACAAGCCUCCCCAAAUGUGGCAGGUGCUGUGCUGGCCAUUGGUGACCCAAAGAUGAUGAAAAAUAUGUUCCUGCCCACAAGGAGUUAGCGACCUACUGGGCUUUCCUCUUGCUGAUGACAUGAUUCCUGUUUGAAUCUGUUGACAAGAUUCUGAAAGCUGAACAGAGAAUUCUGGCACUGCACUGGGUAGGAAAAAGCAUUUCAAGAAAUAGAUAAUAUCAAGGACAUCAGGACACCGGGAGUGGGAGAGAUUGGACUGGGAGACUCAGCAGCUUAAAUUGAUGCUUGGAUAGGGGAAAAGGAUGAAGAAGAAACUCAAUGGUAUGUUAACUGAGAGAAUGAAGUAAAGUGGCAUAGUAACGACAGUUAUAAAAGGGGCACUGCAUACCCCAUUGCUGUCAAGGGAUUGUAAACUUCCAGACUGGGCUAAACGAAUGCUGGGAAAGGUCUGUACAGCCACAACAAGUCCUUAGACUUAGGACUUAGAAGCUUAUUUGCAGUAGUUAUUUUAGGAGUUACAGGAUUCUGGGGACUAAUUCAUGUUAACUGAAUUUACAAGACAUAUAUAUAUUUAGUUGAGACAUUUAAUUACCAAGAUAACUAGAAAUCUCAUCAGUAGGAAGGUCUCCUUGGGCUGUUUGUUGCUAUGUUUAUGAAGAUGGUUUCAUGAAC